rnacentral:lncRNA from 1 species
GAUCAAUUAAGCAUCUAACUUUUUAUUUGAUUUAUUCUUAUUGUGCUAAAUGUCUAUUUAUUGUUUACUCGGCAUAAGUUUCCCAUCAGUCCUGGUGGGAGCCUCCCAGUCGACUCUACAUCCACUUCUAGAUUAUGACCAGUUCAAUAUGAAAUGAGAUCAAGAAAAGUCAUCACAUACUCGGGACAAAGAUGUGGUGGUGUCAGUUAGGUUAGGUUAGGUUAGGUAGGUAAUGCCACGAUGAAAACUUCCAUCGAUAACCAAAAGGAGAAGGAAGCAGCAGCCAACAAAAAAAAGGGAAGCGUCGCACGAUACACCUUUUAACAUUUACAUCCUAUCCCGUGUCCGUCCCUAGUUAAGCCAACGACUAAAAAUUGGCAGUAACCUCAUUGAAGGUAAUCAUAUCUUUUUGGCCGACUUACAUUGGAACCCACAACUGGAGGCCUAAGCGGUUGACCGAGUUUAUCGUAUUGGACAAAAAAACCCGUUCAAUUACAUCGCUUUGUAACAAGAGGAACUGUGGAAGAAGGUCUAGUCAAAAUUCAAGUGAAGAAGUUGAGAUUAGCUACCGAAGUUCUCUCGGGAGAUUUAAGUAGUGGAAAGUUAUCUAUUGAUAACUUGAACGAAAUUUUCGGAUGUGUCAUCAUCCAUCGACAAACUCUAAAGCAAAGAUGCAGAUAAAAUUUACCUAACCAAACCAUACUUUAAAAAACCUAACUUUGGCAAAACUAACGGAACCAUACCUUUUCUAGACUAACCUACUUAUCUUAACCUAUCCUAUCAUGGUCGAACCCAGUCUAAUUUAACCCACAACCCACCUCACAUAAACAAAGACAAUAUUUAUUGCUAAAAAAUUUCUCUUUUUUAUUCCUAUUUAAGAAUAGUAGUACUGACAUUUGUUCAUGCAAAGUCAUUCAAAUUCCGCUGUGAUUUGGUCUGUUCGUUAGGCUCACUUAUUUUUUUCCAUUCUUGCCCGUCUGCAAUACAGUAAGAAACCAUUAAAAAAUGAUUCUUCAAACCAAUUUUCGCCAAAAUAUUUAAAUUACAAUUAGACAGGUAAUAGUCGAUAAUCGGACUGUCUAUGGACGACAUCAAAGUGAUCAAAUUGUUAAGCUCGACAGUUGGUCGUUUCCCAUUUGAUAUUCAGAAUACUCACUAACUUGGCGUUGCAUUGGUUUGAAAAUCUUUUUGUCAAUGAUGAACGAGGAUAUUAACGAAAUCUUUGUUUUCAGUAGACCUUUAGACCUUAGCGAUCAGCAUUUUCUGCGACAAGCGCGAGCAGCUAAACUGGUCGAAGAGGCCAAAGUGGGCGCAAAAUCUAAUACACCGAUGAAGUGCGCUAUACUCAGAUAGAGUUGCUUAAACCCAAGCAAAGAAAACCCUCAGUAAGAAUUGCCGGUCAAAAUAGAAAAAAAGGAAAUAAAUUUAAGGUAACUUUUAUUAGAAAAUAAGGUAUUUAAUUAUUCUUUCGUGUUGCUAUUAAUCACUCUGUUGCUUAAUUGCAGGGGUUUACAGCUUAACCGAAAUAUUAUUGAUGCACAGAUCGAGUAUCUGAUUCACCAAAUCGAGGACCUUAAGUUUUUUUCCCGUUAAAUUAAUUUCUUAUUUAUUUUGUGUUUUUUUAAUCAUAGAUAAGGAAGACUGGUUGAUUAUGUCCUAUCGAGGAGAAAGAAUUAAUUUCUAUUUUGGAUACCCAAGAAAAACUUUUUAAGAUCCUCCCCAAGAAAGGGGACAGAAGAGUAACUUUUUUUUUGUUUUUCCCAGCAGUUUGAUUCUCAUAAAAAGCCUUAGAAGGGCGGAGAAUCAAAAUGUCGAGGAGAAAGAAUUAAUUUCUAACUAUAAAUUCAGCCUGCAUGUAGAUAAUCCGCAGUUACUUCUAAACAUUUCUCAAAGGUGGAUAUCUGAGGUUGAAAAAAAAUGUCCUUAAGUUCCAUAGAAGUUGUAGGGAACAAAAAGGAUCUUAGAAAUGACCGGGCAACCCUUUUAAGUCAGCUUACAAUGCAAAUUUCAAUUUUUUCCAAUUCCAAUUUUUCUAUGAAUGUCAAUUACAGAAUCAAUCCGAGUUAAGCCAGAAGAGAGCCUUGGGGUGAAAAAUGCAGGAUAUUCCAUAAUCCCCUUAUUCAAUUGUUAGAUUAGUGAGUCUAAAACGAUCUCCGGUUAACUAAUUGUAUUAGAAUCGAGAGACGGGAAACAAAGCUUACGACCGCGAGCUAAGACGAAAGGAGACUGCCCUUCUUUCUGCUCGCUUCCUUCAAGUCCCGACGCUUGCGAGUCGCACGACAUCUAGCGGUCGUGGAAAAAAUGAUACGAUGACACAACAUCUAUUUCAACGAAAUGAAUGAAUUGUAAUCAUUUAAUGGAAUCUUUUGUUGCGUUAUGCUAACCAGUGCUGCCACAAUCGCGAUUCAUAAAUAAUCGUGAUCAAAAUUUCGAUCAAAUAUUUAAUCGAAAAUCACAUCUUUUUAAAAUGAUCUUAAUUGCGUUCAGAAGGCCAAAAAAUCAUUUUUGAUAAAUUUUUGUUAUCGAUCAUUUUGUGACCCCUUUCCCUUAAAAUGUGGGAGUUUUUGUAACUUUCCCCGUCUUUCUUAUCUCUUUGUCAUUUCGCACAUUUCACCCCUCUAUACCUAUAAAAACCUCAACAAACUUUUACCUUCUAUUGAUAGAUUUCACUAAAUUAUCGA